AUUGUCUCAGUCUAUGUUGUCAUUAUUUACUUUCCUCACUCAGGCAUGAGUAUACUGACGGAGAAUUGAGGAUGCCUAAAGUACACCCUGACAUGGAUAGAGUUAGGGCUCCUUCUUAGGAUGCAUGGCCUGACUAAAAGAUACAACAUCAUCGAUGGGAGGCGAGUGGAAUAGAAUUCAUAAAGAGGCUUGUCUUUUGGGCUAAUGUCGUAUUUCGUGUUUUCAAGUCUGAUUUCUAGCAUUUUGGCUUCUGAGCAAGCCUCACAGUUGUAUUGCUCUUGCUAUGCCUAUCGUGUGCAAAAAUAAGGAAUUUAAAUAAUGUAGCUAUAUAAAAAACACAAAAUCCUCGAUAGGGGGCAAGUUGUAUGGAAUUUAUAAAGUGGC